UGGGGAAUCUUGCGCAAUGGGCGAAAGCCUGACGCAGCGACGCCGCGUGGGCGAAGAAGGCCUUCGGGUUGUAAAGCCCUGUGGGGGAGAACGAACCGUUCGGGGGCGAAUACCCUCCGAGCUUGACGGUACUCCUUUAGCAAGCAUCGGCUAACUCUGUGCCAGCAGCCGCGGUAAGACAGAGGAUGCAAACGUUGCUCGGAAUUACUGGGCGUAAAGCGCGUGUAGGCGGUCUGAUAAGUCGGACGUGAAAUCCCGGGGCUCAACCCCGGAAGAGCGCUCGAUACUGUCUGACUAGGGUCCUGAAGAGGAGAGCGGAAUUCCCGGUGUAGAGGUGAAAUUCGUAGAUAUCGGGAGGAACACCAGUGGCGAAGGCGGCUCUCUGGGCAGGUACCGACGCUGAGACGCGAAAGCGUGGGAAGCAAACAGG
rnacentral:rRNA from 1 species